rnacentral:lncRNA from 1 species
UGUUUUCAGUAUUGCACAUUUAUUCAGAAGUACAUAAAUAUAAUGUUAAAUAGCACAUAAUAUGAUGUAAACACUACUUGACCCUGACUUCAAUAAUAAAUUCUACUGGAAAAGAAAUACUGCACAUGAAGAUAUUUGUGUCCACCCAAGUCAGAGUCCCUCGUUUAUAUCAUAGUAGCACGGUGGCGGGGGAUUGUAGUUGAUACACGCUUUACACUGGUCAUAGCACUUGAGGCUGGGAUAGGACUCAGUGGAGACUGUGGCCUGGGUCUUUGUGAUUUGAUUAUUACUGCUGGUGGUCUGGGGAACAGACGCCUUGGAAGCCCUUAAGAAAACACACAGAGCAUGGAAUUAGAAUUUUUCUUCUCCAUCCAUUUGUCAUAAUUAUCAGGGGUAUCUGGGAGGUUUGGGGCUGGAGCCAAUCAAAGACAUGACAGGAGCCCGAAACUAGAGCUCUCGGCCCCUGUCCCAAGCUCCUAUCCAAUCCCUUCCUGUCCCACUACUAGAAAUGGAAAAUCAGGUUACAGCCAACAAGAGAGAGCAAGCACAGGUGUGGAUCACCCAGCCGAUCCCUGCAGGCCCAUCAAGUGCAGAGCGGGAUGGGGAAGGGGCCACACUUGGCCACCCCCACCCCCCAUGUUCUGGGAUUUACCUUCCAGCUCACAGGCUUCACUUCCCUAGGACGGGAACAGCACGGCUUCACGACCCAUCUCUCUCCCAGGCUCCAGGGUUCCUCUCCCCCAAAGUUAAUGAUCUUUUGUCUGGGCUGCACUCCCCUGUCAGGUGUCCCCGGGACCUUCACCCAGCUCAGCUUCCCCACAGUCCUCCAGGCCCACCUCACUGUCCCCAGGGCCAUGCACGUGAAUGAGAGAACCCCCUGACCGCUCCCCCAACUCCGCUAAGAGGAGGUCAAUCCAGCCUGUCCUCUGAGUGAAUCCCAGGCACAGACUCACCCACAGCCUCCUGCACAGUCUGCAGGGCCUGGGACAGAGGGAGGGCCCAGCCAGUGUGAGGAGUAAGCCGCUGAGGGUCCACUCGGGGAGGGUAGUGGGGCAAAGCAUCACAGCAGCAGCCCCCCGUCUCUGCUGAGAACAUUCUACUUAUGAGCUCACAGCCCUAAGCCAGAAGGGGGAAAACUCAAGAUUCCACACUCACCUGUCUUCGUGUUUUCAGACCUACCUGCUGCUCCUGACUUCCCCCCUGGGUGUGGGCACAGGGCAAGGGAUGACCCUGCUCAGGCAGGGAGCCCCGGGUAUCCUAUUUGAGGGGGUGCUUUUCACUCUUACCCACAUCACUCACUUUAAUGUGCGGAAUAGUUUGUAGUAAAGACAGAGGACAACAGCCAUCAGCACAAUCGUGACAAUCAAUAAGCUGCCACCAAUGGCAAUCAGGAUCUUGAGGUCAAGCAUGUCAUAGGCACCUGUGCAGAGAAGUGCAGGGAGGCAGUGAAUGUGGCUUCCCUCCCCAUCCCAGGCCCCAGCUUCCUUCAGCGGGGGACCCAUGAGCCCCAAACCCCAGGUGUCAUACGUGUAAACCAUGCAUGAAUGUUCCCAGGGAGUCCAGGCUGGCCCACAGGGGGAUAGGGUUUAUAUGUGGAUGAAAAGCAACUGAAAUGUAAACUCCGGCGGGAAGGAAAUCAGGAGAGAAAUUGGGAAGAAUGUUUUUCCUUUUCACAGGCAGCAAUGAGCAGCUACAACUACCACACAGGCCUACCCUUGUGCAGGUGGUUUUAGUCCCAAACCUCUGGGCCUCAUGAAAUACAUGCACUGAUAGAGUCAACAGUGACCCCUUGCUGUUCGUCAAGUUUAAAAUGGUUCCUGGGAAUGACAAAGGAAAUGUCUUUUUUCAAAGUGUCCUGCUGUACAAUGCUGAGAAUAUGCAAACGCACCUUGGAAGUGGUGAGUUUUAAGGGAACAAAGUUUCUAAUUCUCCCACGGACAACUGUCCUGCCAUAUUAUGGUUUCAGGACAUCUUAGGAGCCCCUGUCCCUCAUUCUGUCUCUCCAGGAGAUAACAGGCCUUUUGGACACUUUUCCUCCGAAAUUCUCCCACGAAAAUUGGCCUGAAAACAGCAAAGUGUUUAAUCUGACGCUCUGAAAUUAGGGAACAGUGAGCCAGGAAAGCAGCAUUAACAAUGUAACUGCGAGGCAUACUUACUAGAGGUAAACCGUCCAGAUCUGGAUGAAGGCCAAGUAUUAAAAACAAUUUAAAAAAAUUUAGGGAACAGGGUAUUUUAUGGAAGCCGUAAUUUGAGAAAGAAGGAUAGAAUCACCCUUGUCAGAAGGAAUUAAGAUCCAAGGUUGAAGAACUUGCUUUUGAAGCACAGCCACUGCCCAGCCCCAUGUUCUAUGCCACAGCGAUGUGACAUCAGCUCUCAGGACAGCAGCUCUUCCGCAGAGUUCUGAAUUCUGUCCCAUGUACCAGUGUACUUUAGCCCUCAGGAAAGAGAGACUAUUUUGAACCAUUUAAUUCUAAGUCUUUUCCUUUUCAGGUCUUAUUUCCCUUACAUUGAUUC